UACGAAGGGAGCUAGCGUUGUUCGGAAUCACUGGGCGUAAAGCGCACGUAGGCGGAUUUGUUAGUCAGGGGUGAAAUCCCGGGGCUCAACCUCGGAACUGCCUUUGAUACUGCAAAUCUCGAGUCCGGAAGAGGUGGGUGGAAUUCCUAGUGUAGAGGUGAAAUUCGUAGAUAUUGGGAAGAACACCAGUGGCGAAGGCGGCUAACUGGUCCGGUACUGACGCUGAGGUGCGAAAGCGUGGGGAGCAAACAGG
rnacentral:rRNA from 1 species